rnacentral:sRNA from 1 species
UGUAGGGGAGCAAAGGCUAAGUUCGCAACGUCCUGUUGCAACGCCUUUGUGACCUGCCUAGUGCAGG